rnacentral:misc_RNA from 1 species
GAAAUGCGAUACUUGGUGUGAAUUGCAGAAUCCCGUGAACCAUCGAGUCUUUGAACGCAAGUUGCGCCCCAAGCCUUUUGGCCGAGGGCACCUCUGCCUGGGUGUCACAAAUCGUCGUCCCCCCAUCCUCUCGAGGAUAUAGGACGGAAGCUGGUCUCCCGUGUGUUACCGCACGCGGUUGGCCAAAAUCCGAGCUAAGGAUGCCAGGAGCGUCUUGACAUGCGGUGGUGAAUUCAAUAUCCUCGUCAUAUCGUCGGUCGUUCCGGUCCAAAAGCUCUCGAUGACCCAAAGUCCUCAACGCGACCCCAGGUCAGGCGGGAUCACCCGCUGAGUUUAA